rnacentral:rRNA from 1 species
AGUGUAGGCGGCUGCGUAAGUCGGAUGUGAAAGCCCCGGGCUCAACCUGGGAAUGCCAUUCGAAACUGCGCGGCUAGAGUCUGACAGAGGGAAGUGGAAUUCCGGGUGUAGCGGUGAAAUGCGUAGAUAUCCGGAGGAACAUCAGUGGCGAAGGCGGCUUACUGGACCAAAACUGACGCUGAGGCUCGAAAGCGUGGGGAGCAAACAGGAUUAGAUACCCUGGUAGUCC